rnacentral:rRNA from 1 species
UACGGGGGGGGUAAGCGUUGUUCGGAAUUACUGGGCGUAAAGGGCUCGUAGGCGGCCAACUAAGUCAUACGUGAAAUCCCUCAGCUUAACUGGGGAACUGCGUGUGAUACUGGAUGGCUUGAGUUCGGGAGAGGGAUGCGGAAUUCCAGGUGUAGCGGUGAAAUGCGUAGAUAUCUGGAGGAACACCGGUGGCGAAGGCGGCAUCCUGGACCGACACUGACGCUGAGGAGCGAAAGCCAGGGGAGCAAACGGG